UGGGGAAUCUUGGACAAUGGGCGCAAGCCUGAUCCAGCCAUGCCGCGUGGAUGAUGGAGGCCUUAGGGUUGUAAAAUCCUUUCGCCGAGGACGAUAAUGACGGUACUCGGAGAAGAAGCUCCGGCUAACUUCGUGCCAGCAGCCGCGGUAAUACGAAGGGGGCUAGCGUUGUUCGGAUUUACUGGGCGUAAAGCGCGUGUAGGCGGGUCGUUAAGUUGGGGGUGAAAUCCCGAGGCUCAACCUCGGAACUGCCUUCAAAACUGGCGACCUGGACCUAAGUAGAGGCAAGUGGAAUUGCGAGUGUAGAGGUGAAAUUCGUAGAUAUUAGGAAGAACACCAGUGGCGAAGGCGGCUCACUGGAUCGGUACUGACGCUGAGGUGCGAAAGCGUGGGGAGCAAACAGGAUUAGAUACCCCCGUAGUCCCUGAGCGGGCUGGCAAGGCGCAU
rnacentral:rRNA from 1 species